rnacentral:rRNA from 1 species
UUCCGGUUGAUCCCGCCGGACCUGACUGCUAUCGGAUUGAUACUAAGCCAUGCGAGUCAUUGUAGUAAUACAAGGCAGACGGCUCAGUAACGCGUAGUCAACCUAACCUAUGGACGGGGAUAACCUCGGGAAACUGAGAAUAAUACCCGAUAGAACAUUAUGCCUGGAAUGGUUUAUGUUUCAAAUAAUUUAUUGCCGUAGGAUGGGACUGCGGCCUAUCAGUUUGUUGGUGAGGUAAUGGCCCACCAAGACUAUUACAGGUACGGGCUCUGAGAGGAGUAGCCCGGAGAUGGGUACUAAGACACGGACCCAGGCCCUAUGGGGCGCAGCAGGCGAGAAAACUUUGCAAUGUGCGAAAGCACGACAAGGUUAAUCCGAGUGGUUUCUGCUAAAGGAACCUUUUGCCAGUCCUAGAAACACUGGUGAAUAAGGGGUGGGCAAGUUCUGGUGUCAGCCGCCGCGGUAAAACCAGCACCUCAAGUGGUCAGGAUGAUUAUUGGGCCUAAAGCAUCCGUAGCCUGCUUUGUUAGUUUUCGGUUAAAUCCAUUCGCUCAACGAAUGGGCUGCCGGGAAUACUGCAAAGCUAGGGAGUGGGAGAGGUAGACGGUACUCGGUAGGAAGGGGUAAAAUCCUUUGAUCUAUUGAUGACCACCUGUGGCGAAGGCGGUCUACCAGAACACGUCCGACGGUGAGGGAUGAAAGCUGGGGGAGCAAACCGGAUUAGAUACCCGGGUAGUCCCAGCUGUAAACUAUGCAAACUCAGUGAUGCAUUGGCUUGAUGCCAAUGCAGUGCUGCAGGGAAGCCGUUAAGUUUGCCGCCUGGGAAGUACGUACGCAAGUAUGAAACUUAAAGGAAUUGGCGGGGGAGCACCACAAGGGGUGAAGCCUGCGGUUCAAUUGGAGUCAACGCCGGG